CUUUUUGUAACUAGUUAGUAGUGUUGCUGUAGUCGUUUUUUUAAGGAUGCCUUUUAAAAUAGUGCAAACGACCGAAAGGGAUGAAGGAAUGUUCUACGGAACUUCUUGACUCACACAACAACCGAUUGUACUGUAUUUUGUGUAUGAGGUGUAUCAUUUUUUGGAACACGUUUUGCAUUUCUUAAACCAAAUAUAAAGUUUGAAUAUUC